UCAACUGUGGAACUAUGCUGGAAACUGCAUGACUAGAGUCUGAUAGGGGAAGUUAGAAUUCCUGGUGUAAGGGUGGAAUCUGUUGAUAUCAGGAAGAAUACCAGAGGCGAAGGCGAACUUCUAGGUCAAGACUGACGCUGAGUCACGAAAGCGUAGGGAGCAAACAGGAUUAGAUACCCUGGUAGUCUACGCUGUAAACGAUGC
rnacentral:rRNA from 1 species